AUGUUGAUAAGGAAAUUUUGGUGGGGGUCUAAAGAUAGAAAAAGAAAACCAAGUUGGGUGCCGUGGCAGGAGAUGACUCGACCUAAAUGUAUGCGUGGACUUGGUUUCAAGGAUUUUGAACUUUUUAAUCUUUCUUUGUUGGCCAGGCAAGCCUGGCGUAUUCUUCAAUGUCUUAACACUUUAAGUGCUAAAAUCUUGAAGGCGGUAUAUUUUCCAUCGACAUCUAUAUUGCAUGCUGAACUUGGUGGUCACCCUUCUCAAAUUUGGAGGGCGGUGCUUGAGGGGCGUGACAUCCUCAAACAAGGCUUGAUACGUCGAAUUGGUAAUGGAAACACCACAGAUAUUUGGAGUGACAAUUGGCUUCCGAGAUCAGAGAUGUUGAGACCUUAUGGAUGA
rnacentral:rRNA from 1 species